rnacentral:rRNA from 1 species
UACGUAGGGGGCAAGCGUUGUCCGGAUUUAUUGGGCGUAAAGAGCGUGUAGGCGGCCAGGUAGGUCAGCUGUGAAAACUCGAGGCUCAACCUCGAGACGUCGGUUGAAACCACCUGGCUAGAGUCCGGAAGAGGAGAGUGGAAUUCCUGGUGUAGCGGUGAAAUGCGCAGAUAUCAGGAAGAACACCCGUGGCGAAGGCGGCUCUCUGGGACGUUACUGACGCUGAGACGCGAAAGCGUGGGGAGCAAACAGG